rnacentral:lncRNA from 1 species
CAUGGCAGGCAAUGUCCACGAGGUUUUCAUAUUAACCGUGAGGAAUCAUUACAAGCUCGAAAGGCUCCUCCUACAAGGCAUAGAAGCCUUGUUAUCAGUCAGGACUGCAGAGGAAGGAGGGGACCAAAAGUGUAACAGAAGAUACUAGCUGGGAUGCAGCUUCCUGAGGCAAAGAAGACUGGCUAGAACAACCUAGGCUCUUUCUGUCCUCUCCAUCUCUGAGUGUCGUGAAACUGUUCCGACGUCCCACAGAAGCCUUAAUUCUGGUGAUCACCACCAAAAUCUUCAUCUUCUGAACCUAGACCAACUGGCACAGUUUUCUCCCCAGAGAGCAGCCAAGUCUUCGUUAUAGAGAAAACACCAGGAUAAUCUGUCUGUGGUGACCUUUUGUAAAUAUCCAGACCAA